rnacentral:lncRNA from 1 species
GUCACGAGCCACCGCCCUGGGCGGGACGGGACCGGGACCGGGACCGGGGCCGGGGCCGGACCGGACGGGGGGCGCUCCCGGGGCGGGACGCUUAGGUCCCGGGGAGGGGGGCGGGGUCCGGGGGCUCCAGAUGAGCGGUGGUCGCCCCUUGGGGUCAGGAGACCCCACCCCCUCCCGCCUGGGCCCGCCCCUCGCCCACUCGCCCACUCCCCUCUCCCCAUUGUCCUCAGACAAAGCCCUCGCCCGCCCCCUCCCCUGACUCUCCGCCUCUCUGUGUGUCUGUCUGUCUCUCCUCCUCUUCCUUUCUCCCUCCCCCCGGCUGCCGGUCUCUGUCUCUCUCCUCCUCCUCUCCCUCCUCCUUUUCUGCUCCUGCUCGUGCUCCUCCUGUCCCGUCCCGUCCCGUCCGGUCCGGCCCGGUCCCGUUCCGGCCGCCCUCCCUUUCCGCCGAGGGCCCCGGAGAGGGGCGGGCGGGCUGGGUCCGAGGGCGGAGGGCGGAGGGCGGGCCGGGGAUCCGAGGGCUCCGGGCGGCCGGGCUCCCGGCUGCUGGGAAGGCGCCCGGACGCCGGGGACCCGCCGCUGCCCCCGGGGAGGGGAUUUCCCCGGCCGGCCCCGCCCCAGGCCUGCCCCCGCCCCGGGGAGGGGCCGGGCCCCGGGGGUCCUGGCCGGGCCGGAGCCGGGGCCGCCGGUCGGAGGGGGCCGAGGUGGGUGACGGAGCCUGCUCCGGGCUGCGCGGGGAGGCCGGCCGGACGGACGGACGGACGGACGGCCCGCGAGCGCCUCGCCUUCCUCCUCCUCCUCCCUUCUUCCCCUUUCCCCUCUCCGCUCGGCCUUAGUCCCUCUGCCCCCUCCCUUUGCCUUCUCCCAGCCCUGCCCCCGGCCCCCGCCGCCCUCUCCUCCCCGGCCCCCGCUUCUCUCUUCCCUUCUCCCCCAGUUCCUCUUCAAUCAGGUCCCCCUGUCCUGUCCCCUCCCCUCCCCUCCCCUCCCCGUCUCGUCUCCCCUGUCCUGUCCUGUCCCGUCCCCUCCCCUCCCCUCCCCGUCUCGUCUCCCCGUCCCGUCCCGUCCGCUCCCCUCUCCUGGCUCGGCCCAGCGCGGCCCGCUCUCCCUCGUUCCCUCCCUCUUGCAGCCCGCUCUCCCUUCGCUUCCCUCCUCAGCCCCGCUUCGGGAAUCCCCCUGCCUCCGACCCCUGCCUUGCUGCCGCCGCCGCCGCCGCCCACCCCAGAGCCGGGGGCCGGCAGGGCCCGGCCC